ensembl:lncRNA
CUGUCUUGCUUUACAUUUACCCUGACUCUAAUACCACAUUCACCUGAAUUUCUUACCACAUUUCUGGUUGCCCCUCUGGAGCCUUCUUUGCUGGAUGCUUAUCUUUGUGCCGAUCCCUCAGUGUUGCACUCAUUCCCUUCACUCACCAUCUCUCCUUCCAGUUUCAACAGCUAUAUGCCAAUACUUGCAAAUCUCAGCUCAACUCACCACUUUUGAGUUUUAGCAUUGCAUCUCCAAAAUCCACCACCCCUACUCUCAUGGCUCAGUGGUAAAGCAUCUGCCUGCAAUGCAGGAGACGCAGGAGACUUGGGUUCAAUCCCUGGGUCAGGAAGAUCCCCUGGAGAAGGAUGGCAACCCACUCCAGUAUUCUUGCUUGGGAAAUUCCUUAGACAGGAGAGCCUGGUGGACUACAGUCCAUGGGGUCGCAAAGAGUCAGACACAACUGAGCACGUACAUGUGCAUACUCUCAAAGGCAGUUGGAAACUAAUUAAUAUGUUCCAAAAUGAAUUCAUCCUAUUCUUCCCCAACCUACUCCUUUUUUCAGUAUCUUUUAGGGAAAAGGAUGGGUUGGUUUUAGCAGAAGAGGAAAGCAUGGAAGAGAGAUACAUUAAGGAUACUGUCAUGGAGUUACAUAAAGGUGGAUUGGCCUGCAAAUUAGAGUUCAAGGAAGAGCAGAAGAUAAAACUGGAAAAGAGCAACUGAUUUUGUUUGAGUUCCUAUUCAACUGAGCUGUGGUGGAGCGAAGAAGUGGCCACUUUAGGGGCAAGAUGUACUUCCUGGUGUCCUAACCUAGCUCAAGACUUCAUCCUGGGGUAGAGGAAGGUGUUACAAAAGACCGCCGUGCCGCGUUACAAGGAUACUGGAACUUCCUCAUAGCAAGGAAUGGAAGCCUCAAGCCAACAAUCAUGUUAAUUAAACCAUUUUGGAAGCAGUUUUCAGCCUUAGCCAAGCCUUUGGAUGACUUAUUUCCAGGCCAACUGCUUUACUACAGCCUCCUGAAAUACACUGAGCCAGAACUGCCUAGCUAAGCUGGUCCUGAAUUCCGGAGCCCAGGAACCAUGUGCCAAAUAAUAUUAACCAAAUAAUAAAUG